UUUAUUUCUGUCGCUCUCACAAUUCUUCCAUCGAAACUGGGUUAGAAACUUGGGUUAUUGAUGAACAAUAAGUGUUCAACAGGGAAGACAUGAUUAAUAGUGAAGUAGAAGAAUCACGUAUUGGUGAUGUCUGGAAUUUUUGAAGUUUUAGGGUUCAGUGGAUGCGGCGAAGAUGAAGCACAAAUCGAGGAUGAAAAAAAUCAAAAUACAUUUGAUAUAUGGUGAUGAAUGGUGAAGAUUGAUGAUUAUAAAGAGUGCCAGUGGUUUUAGUUGAAAUGGAUUCACAGAAAAAUCAGUCGAGGAAGUGCUGGUGUUGUUGUUGAUUCAAUUUUGUGUAUGAUUAGGAUUGUGGGUUGUUUCUGUGUUUCAAUGUUAUCAAAAUAUGAAAUUACUGCAGGGUAGGAGAUAUUACAGAGCUUAAGAGUACACAAUAAACUCAUUGAUACUUUAGCAGCGAAACACACACAAGGUGUUUGUGAAAAGGCUUGACUUUGCAGUUCCUUAGCUAAACUAAGUUAUGUGGUUCUUGGCAAUUGAGGAACUGCCAAAGUGGGAGGAGUAAAUGGAAGAUGGGUCUUUGAAUUGCUUUACAGGAAUAAAUGAAGUUGAGUUAUUCUUGUGAUGUGUAUAUGUGAUUGUUAGGUUCAAUGGUCGUGUUAUGUUGGUGGUAGUAAACAUGGAAUUUCAAGCAUAAAUGUUGUCUGAAGCUGGAAUUAUAGGUGGUGAUAGUUAUGCUAAUUUUUUAAUGUUAAUAGCAGGUUUCCCCUACUUAAUACUAAGGGAAAUGUUAAUAUCUAGAAUUUCAAGAUAUAUGAUGCAGACAAAGAGCAAUGCUGGGUACGAAAUGGUUGAUGUUUUGGCUGAGAGAUUUGGAAACAAUUUCAAAGUAAAGAUGGGAAAGUGACCUGAUGCAUAUGAGUGUUUGGGAUUUACGUUUGAGCUUGGAAGAAUGAGAUUUACCUGGUAAAACCAAACCAUUCUCACUUCAUGCUUUCAUGUUGUUUAGGAAAUUGAGUUUGUGUUAGAUAUAAAUUCAAUGCAGGCAAGGGUAUAUGGAAAAGUUUACAAAUCAAUCCCACGUACAUCUAUCCCCUGCUUGCUAGUUCAGACGCUCGACAUGUUUGUUGAAAUGCCUAAAUGAUGUUCUUCACUUGGUCUAAGUCACUAAGUUGACUCGAAGACGACUCAUAACACUAACUGGACCUAGUCCGUCCAUGAAAGGGGUGUACAUGUCUUUUACUAGGUAGCAUAACUGCCACAUCUGCAGUUAACUUCUAUUACCCGUUUUUUGAAGAAAACGGGAUGAAAAAAGUCUAUUUCGGCAAUUUUAUAAAAAGAUUCAAAAAAAACCGGCCAGUUUCUUAA